rnacentral:antisense_RNA from 1 species
AGCUUUCCUCCUUCGUCGGAGCAUACACGGCGGUGUCGGCUGGCAGGCUGGGGCAUGGGAGCAGCUGCAGGCAUGGUUGGCUUCAGGCGUGUUUUCCCUGCAAGCCAUUGGCCUCUGGGAAUUGGCCGUUUUACGGAGACAAGGACGUGCUGAGGGGAUCGCCUCACCCAUCUCCCACUGGCUGUGUCCCCAAAGUCCUGCCUUCCCGUAGCUUGGCAUGGAGCACCUCUGCGCGACCAUGGGCCUGCUCACACAGCCCUUCUGCACACCGUGGGAGCUGCCUCUCUGUGACCCGCCCCUGGACCCACUGCCCCAGCGCCUGACCCACCUCCCUGCUGCCUUUCACAGAAAACUUCUCACAGACUCCCAUUUUCUCAUCCCGCCCUGAUUUAGCCCGACUUCCCCCGGAAACUGCCCUUACCCGUCCCCACCUUGCCAGACACGGUGGGCUACUGGAGUUCCUCUGUCUUCUGGGACUUUGCUCUCCCCAGGGGAUCCUCUGACACUCCUCCACCCAACUCCUUAAUCUUGGAGUGCCAGAGCUCAGCCGAGCUCACCGGCUCCCUAGGGAGCCGGGGCAACUGUUAGCUUCCCCUGACCGCUGCUCCUAUGUCCAGUGAAUGCUGGCCCCGCAAACUUAAUGUGUUCAUUGUGGAACUUU